UGCAUGAGAAGAGAAGUGCUCAGGAUAACAAACACAGGGUAAGUCUUCUCCACUCUUUACCUUGCAGUGCUGGGGUUGGACUUGUGUCCCAUGGCUGAUGGGCUGUGGUACUGAAAGCUGGCAGUAGACAUGGAGAUCCUCUCACUUGAAGCUGAGGGAAGCCUGCCAAGAGAGGGAAAAGGCUACAAACACCUGGAACCUGAAUUGCAACAGGUGUCAGGUCUGUGUGCUAUGGGAGAAUGGAAAAGCAAGAACACAAUGACAUUGUUUCAAAGGUGUGGGACAAUAUUAAGUCCCUCAGUUGCAUGAAAUAGCAUCCCGAUUUAUAUUUUGACACAGGUAACAUAGGCUCCUGUCCCUUCCCACGCCUGACACACACAACAUCUUAGAGAGAGGAGUAGCUUCUCAGAUGAUUAAUCCUGAGGCAGCACAGUGAAGGGAGGGUCAACUAAGAACUUCAAAAGACCAAAGUGUCAUACAGAAUCAUGUAGCUAUCUCUGUGAUGGCAGAGCCAUGGCCAAGUGGACAACCAGCACACAACACUGUACAACAGGAGAGGGAGAGAAACUACCUGGCCAGGUCCUUGGCACAAACUUUUAGCUUUAGAAAAAAAAUGCAGUGGGACCGUAAGUGCCCAUAGAGAGUAGAGUGGACUGUGGUUGUUAAGAUGUCACCAGAAAUAGCCAUGCCUAGCAACCUGUAUGAAACAUAACUAAUCUGCCUUAGAAGGAUAAAGGGCAGAGUUCAUCCUGCCUAGAGUAAAAUCUUGUGGCUCCAGGAUAUCUAGGAAUUCCAUGCCUGAUGUUCAUACCUAUAUGAAGUCCCUUCUGGGUGUAAACUACAGACCCAAUACUCACAGCCUGCAGGUCAUGCACCCUACAGAGUGUCAUGCUGUGCUUGUAUGGGCUUAAAUGCUGUAAAGUACUGUAGAAAAAUCCACCCAAUAUAUGAACUGCCAUCUUCAACAGGCCAGUGGCAUUUCUGGAGCCAAUCUGACUGAUCACUGGCUUUCUGGAGCUAGUGUACAGUGGGGUUUGCACUGCAUAUGGGAAGUCCACAAAUGGAAUGGCAAAGAAUCUCCAUCAAGCAUUGUGUAGAUGAGGACAUACCACAGACCCAUCCUGUGUAGCAUCUGCUGGGAACAACUAAUCCAGAUUAAAGACAGUCCUGUGCAUCCCAGUGGGUACAAGUGGUUCUUGUAACUGCAAUCAUUUUUCAGAGAGUGAGCGAUCACAUCACCUUCAUGACAUCUCUCUGCCUUGAACUGGAGGUUAAAGAUCUCAACUCUGCUUCCUGGCUCCCAUCCCAAAGCCCCUGACUGCAGGCUUUUCCCAUGGCCAUCACCAGCCCCAUCCCUUUACUUUCUGGUGUUAUACUCUGUGCUGUCCAUGCAUGCUGUGACUUCCCUGUGACAUAGUUACAAUACAAUAGUCUCUAGAAUGGGAGUAGUACCUGUUUGUGACAGGGUGUACCUCCCCUGCACUGGCCCACAGAGAUUAACUGUGCAUUGCAGGCCGAGGAGGACACGCCCCUCUGCUUCAGCAGGCUGCUGAAGGGAAAGGAUACAGAUUGCAGGCUCUGUCUCUGGAGCUGCUACAUGCCCCAGCUACAGAUCCAAGAUGCACCAAGCCCCAGACAGAUUCCAGGCUGCCUGCAGAACCCAAAGAAGGGACCGAGCCAUCAGCAGCUGCAUUGGCCAAGGACCCCAGAGACCCAGGGGAACAGUGAACCAACACCAAGGAAGACAGGGUUCCCAAGGAUCGGAGAGUCGCUCAUGUGUCCGUGAGCGAGUGGAGUGAGUCAUCUGUCUUUUUGGCAAAUAAUUUGGGCUGGCAAGUCUUCUACUGUGGAUUGCACCUCUUCGGGGAAGCCAGAAAGAUAGAGCCAUGAGGCCCUUCUCAUUACAGCCACCGUCGACACAGAUGUUGCAGCCCUGUCUUCAGAAUCAAGUGUUGCAAAUUGUUCUCCCUUGUCCUU